rnacentral:lncRNA from 1 species
AAAUAUUCAUAUUUGCUGCAAUAUUUUCUAUAAAAAAUUCAUAAAAAAAGAGUUUUGUACUGAUUUUCUGAUGAAUUCUGUAAAAUUUAACGAAAAUAUUAUUGCUGACAUGGGCCCCUUGUACCUGGAUAAUUUCUGUCCAUGCAUACAAAUUUUACAAAAUGAUUAAUUCAUGGAGUUUUGUAUCAGGUGCACACACUUUUGGUCGUGCCCAAUGCCAAUUUUUCUCCCAAAGAUUGUUGAACUUCAAUGGCACAGGAAGCCCUGAUCCUACCUUGAACACAACCUAUUUGGGCACUCUGCAACAAAAUUGUCCCCAAAAUGGAAAUGGAGCUACACUGAAUAACCUUGACCCUUCAACCCCUGAUACUUUUGACAACAAAUAUUUCACCAAUCUUCUCAUCAACCAAGGUCUUCUCCAAACAGAUCAAGAACUCUUUUCCACUGAUGGUUCUUCCACAAUCUCCAUUGUUAACAACUUUGCCAACAACCAAUCUGCCUUCUUUGAAGCUUUUGCUCAGUCCAUGAUCAACAUGGGUAACAUCAGUCCUUUGACAGGUACUCAAGGACAAAUCAGAACUGAUUGUAAGAAAGUAAAUGGAAGUUGAAGAAAGAGGGCAUAAAAUCUACCAAUACUUGUACAGUGCUGAUGCAUCAUGUAAUUUUUGGUUUGCAUCUGGGUAUCUGAGUGAAGCUAAGAAAUGGUUAAGAAAUUUAGAUAGCUCAAGAUUUUGCAUUUAUGUAUAUGAUUGAGAAUUUUCUCAAAAAAAAAUUAUGUCUAAAAGUGUCAUAUAUUUUAUGAAGGAGAGGAUUGUUCGAGGAUGUAUAACUUUGUUUUUUUUAAAGAUUAAGGUUUUUUUUUGUUCAUGUCAAAAAAAAAAUAUGAAAUAAAAACUAAUUUUAGAAAAAAAAAUAAUUAAUUGUUAUAGUGACUAAAUUAGAGAUAUUUUAGAAAUUAAAAAAAAUUAUUUUUUAAAUUAGUUUAUAUUAUUGUUAAAUAGUUUCUAAAUUGGUAUUUAAUUAGCUACCAAGGUUUUAACUAUCAAUUAUUUAGAUUCUAAAUUUGGUAGCAAAAACUUAGCUAAUUAGAUACCAAUUUAGAAAUCAUUUAACAAUAAUAGAAACUAAUUUAGAAACCAACAUUUUUUUUAAUCUCUAAAAUGAUCUCUAAUUUAGUUAUUAUAGAAACUAAUUAUUUUUUGUCUCUAAAAUUAGUUUUUAUUUCAUGAUUUUUUUGUAGUGUGUCACUGCUUGGAGGGUGACUGAAAAUAAGAUUGCUAGCAAAGUCAACCUGGAGAGACGACAGAUUUUAACUAGGAAUUCAUAAUGACCAUCCAUGGUUCUGAAAGUUGUCUUGUGAGUGUCAUUGGGGUUGAGCCUAACUUGGUGCUACCCUGAGUAUAAGUCUAUCUUCGUAAAAAUUGUAGUUGACCCCAGUUCAUCUAGCAAUUCAUCAAUAGUGAGUAUGGGGAAGCGAUCACGUAUGGUGACUGCAUUGAGGGCUUUGUGAUCAACACAAAAGUGCCAUGUGCCAUCUUUCUUUUUAAUGAGCAGGACUGACGAAGAAAAGGGGUUGUUACUGGGUUUGAUGAACCCUUCCUGCAGCAUGGUAUUUUUUUGAGAGUGAGGGUAACAGUAUGGGCGUACAUUAAUCGAGUCAGUGUUGGUAAGAGGGGGAUAUGGUGGUCAUGGGGGCGUGGUGGGGAUAGACCAUGGGGUGAUUUGAAUAUUGAUUGGUGUUUAUGUAAAAUCAUUUGAAUGGAUUGGGGUAAUUGGUACAACAAGGAGGAGGAUGUUUGCAUGCUAGAUUCCAGGGAGAUGGAAAGCGGGGAAUGGGUAUCAACUGACAAUAGAUGUAGGGAAGCAGGGAAGCAAUGGUGUUAGUGGCAAUGUUAUGUCAAACUUGAUGGUAAGUGUCUUGAAUUGGGGUUGGCGAGGUUGUAGUUGUGAGGGUGAUAUGUGUAUUGAGGUAAGUGAAGGAAAUACUGGGUAUAGAAAAAUCUACUUGAAUGUGGCCCAACUUGCGCAGCCAUUCAAUGCCAAGAACCACAUCAGCACCCUCUAUAGGGAGGAGAUAGAAGGGAAUAGUGAAAAUUGCAGUUUGGAUAGAUAUCUGGAUAGCAGGACAAAUGUUUUGGCAUGUUAUGGAGGCAUUGUUUCCUACCAUGACUCUAAAAGGUGGACUGGGCUGAAUGGGUAGGUGUAAGUGUCGGAGUUUAUGAGAACAGUGACCGACAAAUUGUGGAUGAGGCCUUGGAAUUUUAGUGUUUUGGGGGGAAAUUUCAUGUAAAUGUGUGGGGGGAUAGAUAGAAAUGGACUAUGUUUGUUGUGUGGGUGGGAUCAGGAGGGACGUCUAGGAUUUCGGAGACAGGUUUUGUAUCAUCUAAAAGUAAAAGAAAAUGUGAGGUGGAACAUUUGUGGCCUGGAAGAAAUUUUUCGUCACAGUUAUAACACAAGCCAAAAGCACUACGCUCUUGCAUCUGGGUUGGUGUAAGGUGUUUAAUUGGGAGGGUAUGGGUUGUAGGUGGUGUGGUUUGAGCACGGCUGGUGGAGGUGUUGGUGGGGUUAAAAGCAGUGGUGUAUGCAGGGGUCGGGUUGGUCUAGGUUUGGAAUCUUUGAAUUUGUCUUCAAUGAGCUUAGCUAGGCCAAUAGCUUGUGAGAUGGAAUAGGGGUUCAAAAUUGAAAAUUCUCUCCUGAUCUCAAGGUUGAGACCUGAUAUGAAACUUGAUGGUUGGUAUAUGAGGAAGAUCGCCCGAAAGGUAAUUCCAAGGAACGGGUGAAGGAAGGUCUAUCAGUAAUGAGAUUAUUUUGGUGCAUCCAUUUAAACCAGCUAAGAGCUUCUCCUUUCAUGUAAAAAGGAACCAUGGAUAACCUAUUUUCUGGGGAAAUAUGAUAAAAGUUAAAGUAUUGUUCUGCUUGGAAUAACCAAUUUAGAGGUUCAGGUCCUUAAAAAAAAAGUGAGUUGUAGUUUGGGUGGUCUUAGAGUUGGAGGAGGUGGGGUAACGAUGGUUGUGUGGUCAUGUGAAUUAGUAAAAGUUGAUGAUUGAAUAUGAGGUAAAGUAGCAACCUGGUCCUAUAACAGAGUAAGGGAAAAGUGGAGGAAAUCAUUUUUUACCUCAAGAUUGGUCUGGCAAGCUUCAUUAGACUUCAAUUAAGAUUGAAUGGAUGUGAGGCGGUCCUGGAUGGCCUGUAGGAGGUCUUCCAGUUCCUUGGAUUGCAGCUUGGGAGGCAUGGAGGAAGACAAAUGAAAGCACCAAUGAUAAAGUAAACUACCAUAGCUACAAUAUUAACCAAUACUCGGGAAAAGAUACUAGGAUAAAAAGUUCUCUACCCUUUUAUUUACACAGAUAGCAUCACUUAUAUAGUGGUGCUUUAGGUUACAAAAUUUAGGUUAUACUCUGGGGUCAUUACUUUUUACUACAAGCACCUCCCUAUAUGUAGUCCCUCAUUCAUAAAGGCUGUUUGUUUUGUCAGUCUUGUCCACUCGCAGGUUUCUUCUACCAAAACUGUAUUACACUAUUCUAAUGUAUAGGAUAUUAGGACUCGCUUUUCUGCACAUUCUUCCUUUGGUUCUCUUGUAUUUUUCUCAUCAUAAGCUGAUUCUCUAUUCUUCAUACAAGUACCAAUGUUCAUAAUUCUGCUUUAUCGUUAUAAUGUUUGUUAUUUUCCUUGAAUGAUGAGCAAUAUGAUGAAAAGUGGUUUCAUAUGACAACCUUUUCAGUUACAAUCUUCUUCCAAUACCUUAUGAAGUUGUUGCUACUGAUACUAAUAUUGCUUUAAAAUAAACAUGCAACAAUGGUUUUAAAACUGACUCAAUUGUUUUGGUUAGGUCCAGAGAAUCUUUCCUGUGUCCAUAAAGAAAUUGUGUUUAAGAAAAAAGAAAAAGACGUUUUUGGUGAAUGAAUACUAUUAAUUGCUGGACUGCAGAAUCCAUAUUAAAAUAGAUUUCAACAUACCAAAGGAAACAAUGUGUCGGCGAGCAAAUAAUUUCCAAUGCUCACUUAAUUAUUUUCUAAGCAUAAUUCUAGACUACAUGUACCCAUAGUAUUCAUUUAAAUAAGUAUUAAUAACUAAAUUUAGAAACUAAAAAUAAUUAUUAACUAUAUUAAUUAAAUUAAAUACUAAUUUAAAAAUUAAAAAAUUAUUCAUAUUUAAAAUAGUUUUUAUUAUUAAUAAAAAAUUAUAAAAUAGUUUUUAAAUUUGUAUUUAAAUUAAUUACCUAGUUUUUAACAACUAAUAACUUAGAUUCUAAAUUAGUUGCUAAAAAUUAAUAGAGAUUAAUUUAAAAUAUAAAGUAAUAAGUAGUUAAAAUUUUGAUAAUUAAUUGUUAGAUAACAAUUUAAAAAUCAUUUUAUAAAUUUUUAUUAAUUAUAAAAACUAUCUAAAUAUCAAUAAUUUUUUAAUUUAUAAAAUAUCCCUAAUUUAAUCAAAUAGUAAUUAAUUAUUUCAUCUCUAAAAUUAGUUUUUAUUUAAUAAUUUUUUUUAAGUAAUAAAUAAGUUAAAGCAAAUUGUAACUAUCAUACCAAAUUCUCAAAAAAUAAAAUAAAAUCCUAUAUAUAAUUUGUGACCCAAACAUUUCAUCUCGUCAAUUCAUGGGAUUUAGUCAAACCCAUUUUUCCUAACUACAAUGAAAAUUUGAGAGGAGGAAAAUGGAGAAGAGUGUCCACAAAUAUUUAAAACUAUUAUAAAUUCUAAAAACUAAAACUCAAAAACACUUUUUUUUCAUAAGCUUUCGUUUAAAAAUAUUUUAAUUAUCCAAAUCAUAGGGAUUUUCAAAUUAAGUUUACUACUCAUAUAACAAUUUAUAUAAUAUUUUUUUUUCAUCACAUCAUUCAGUAGCAUGUGGAUCUCCCAAAAAAUAUUUCACUUCCUAUAGUAGCCCAAAACGAGCCCAAAGGUUCCCAACAUCAGUUCUGCGCCCUAAAUACCUAUAACAUAUUACUUAUAAUAUGAUAUUUAAUGUUCAAAUAUUUAUUCAAUAUAGAAGAAAUUCAUACUUAAUAAAUAUUCUUAGACCUUAUUUACAAAGGAUUACUUUAAAGUAAUAUUAAAAUCAUGUUGAAAAAAUACUUGAAAAAUGUUUUAAAUGAACUUAUUAAUAAUGAAGAUUGAGUUAUUUUUAAUCUCAUGUAUUGGUUAAUUUUAAUGUUACAAUUUUGCUUGAUACAUUCUUUAUAAUGAAAACACACCUUAUUUAACUAAAAAUUCACAAUUGAAUGAAAUUAAUCAAUAAUUCCCUAGGAAUAUGAUAAUUUUUUAAAAAACUAUAAUUAAAUAUAGGCACAUCUACCAAAUAAAAAAAAUUAUUUCUGCCAAAAAAUUUCAAACCUGCACAAAAUAUAUAAAAUUUAUCAUUUAGAAUCAGUCAUAUGACAAUAAUUGUCAUUGACUGAUAUCAAGUUUUUAGAAAAUUUCUUAAUGAAAGUACUUAUAAAGAAAAUAUCAAAUAAAUUAAACUUUUUUCAUGCCACUAAGUUAAAAUCAAUAUAUAUAUAUAUAUAUAUAUUUAUUUUAACUAAUAAAAAAUAUGUUUAUUUAUUUUUAUGUUGACAAAUUUAUCGAAAAUAAGUUCAUAUUAUUAGUACAAUCCAAACUUGUGAUAAAAUAAUUUAUCUUACUUUUAUGCAGCGAAAUAAACAAUCAUGUUUUUAUCACUACAACAAUAAUUAUUUUUGUCUCACUAUAACAAUAAUAGAAUGAUUGGUGAGUAAUAAGUGAUAUUUAUAAUACUCUUGAAAAAAAAAUAGGACUAUUGAUGAUUAAUAAGUAAUAUUUGUAAUAUUUUUUAUUAAAAAAAUAUUGAUGAUUAAGGAAUGUGAAGAAAUGUUCUCUUUUUAUUAUUAUUAUAACACUUGUUGAUCAUUGUUUGAAUAUUUAAACAAAAUUAAUUUUUAUAUGACUCAAGAUAUUAAAGAUUUAUAUGGAUUAGAGAUAUUUUAUGGUAUAUAAAUAAUUAUAAAUUUUAUUUUAUAAAUUAAUUUUGUAAAUUUGAGUUAGAGAUACUGAUAAAAAAAAAUUGCAUGCAAAAUAAUAUAUAUUAAUAUAAUACUUUUAUUAAUGCAUAUGACUUCAUUAGUACUUCAACUUAGUUAAGUUUCAAUCAUUGUGGUUUUAUUUUCUGCUUUAGUUGUCCCCUAGUGAACCCAUUACACAUUCAAAAUUGACAGCAACUUAAACUAUAUGUCUAGUUGACAAUUCUAACUAACUUCAUCUUAAAGAAAUAGGCCUUCAUAUAAUUAACAACCCCUACAAACUUUAAUUACCUUCUCACAACUCUUUAUAAUAAUUUUUAAUUCAAUAAUUUAACUUAUAUUCCAAUUAAAUAACUUAAUAUUUUAUUAUUAAAACCAGUUAAAGAGUUUUCUUCCAAAGAAAAAUAAAGUAAAAAAAAUGAAUGACGCGCUUUUUCUCUUCUAUAUAUACACAUACCACCUAUAUUAUGAAUCAGAAAAAACCCACCAACAUCUGCGAAUCAAUACAUAAAAUUAUGAACCAUGUUUUCUACUAACAACACUUAUUAUUAUUCCCUUGUGGCCACCAUUUUGUUAGUGUUAACAUUUGUGUUUCCUUCAGAAGGGCAAUUGAGUGCAAGCUUCUAUUCCAGCACCUGCUCCAAUGUGUCAUCUAUUGUGAGGGAUUCUGUGCAGCAGGCUUUGACAUCUGAUUCACGUAUUGCUGCAAGCCUCAUUCGUCUCCACUUUCAUGAUUGCUUUGUCGAUGUAAGCUUCCAUCCUCCAUUUCUUUUUUCUUUCUACCUUUUUUCUGGUGUCAUUAUAGGAUUAAUGAAGGUUUCAUCUUGUAUUACUACUAAAUUUUUCUGUGUUUGUUCUCUUGUUGAACAGGUUAAGUGUGUUAUUGUGUCUGAAAUGUGUUUUGUAUGGUUGGAUUAGUCUUUUGUACAUGAGUCGGAUCACUCGUGAAACGAUUCGAUUCAUAUAUAUUGUUUAUUGAUGAAGUAUUAAUAAGUGUUGUUUGUGUUUGUGUGAUUAGGGGUGUGAUGGGUCCAUUUUGCUGGAUGUAGGUGGUAACAUAACAGAGAGUGAGAAAAAUGCAGCUCCCAAUGAGAAUUCGGUUCGGGGAUUUGAUGUGGUUGACAGCAUAAAGAGCACCAUCGAAGCUUCAUGUCCUGCUGUUGUAUCUUGUGCUGAUAUUCUUGCACUUGCAGCUGAAGCUUCUGUGUCCUUAGUAACUUUCUGAUAACAAUCUCUUACAACAUUUUCCUUUUUCUCAAUAUAAAAUACACACAGACUUUGAAAGUACUUAUAAGAAGAUUGUUCUUGUGUGUUUCGAACUUUCAUAAUAAAUCACUGAAGUUGACCUAAUUAACUGUUUUAAAUUCUCAUAAUAGACAAAAGUUCCUAUACAUUUAAAAUAACAGUUGUGUUUAUAGAUUCUUUAAUGAAGUGUAAAUUUUUGCAGUCACAGGGUCCUUCAUGGACUGUAUUACUUGGAAGAAGAGACAGUGUGACUGCAAAUCAAGGUGGUGCCAACACUUCCCUUCCAUCUCCUUUUGAAAACCUAACCAAUGUCUCAUCCAAAUUCUCUGCUGUUGGCUUAGACACAACUGAUCUUGUUGCAUUAUCUGGUAAUAAUAAUAUAGUUUUGUUAUGUUUUUGAACAAGGGUUGAAACACUAUUAAAUUAUUAAUGUUUAUUAUUUUUUAUUUGUUGGUAAAAAAAAAUAAUAUGAAGAAGUUAAAAGGAUAAAAUAGAAAAUUUUGUAAAGUAUUUAUAAAGUGUUUGAAUAAAAUUGAACUUUGAUUAGGUGCACACACCUUUGGUCGUUCCCAAUGUCAAUUCUUCUCCCAGAGAUUGUUGAACUUCAAUGGCACAGGAAGCCCUGAUCCUACCUUGAACACAACCUAUUUGGGCACUCUGCAACAAAACUGUCCCCAAAAUGGAAAUGGAGCUACAUUGAAUAACCUUGACCCUUCAACCCCUGAUACUUUUGACAACAAAUAUUUCACCAAUCUUCUCAUCAACCAAGGUCUUCUCCAAACAGAUCAAGAACUCUUCUCCACUGAUGGUUCUUCCACAAUCUCCAUUGUUAACAACUUUGCCAACAACCAAUCU